rnacentral:rRNA from 1 species
AAUCAACGCUGGCGGCGUGCCUAACACAUGCAAGUCGAACGCGAAAGGGGGCUUCGGCUCCUAAGUAGAGUGGCGUCCGGGUGAGUAACACGUAGGUAAUCUGCCUUCGGGUGGGGAAUAACCAGUCGAAAGAUUGGCUAAUACCGCAUAAUGCAGCGGCACCUAAAUGGUGAUUAGUUGUUAAAGACGGGGGAGUCGUAAGACCUCGCGCCUGAAGAGGAGCCUGCGGCAGANAGCUAGUUGGUGAGGUAAUGGCUCACCAAGGCUUCGAUCUGUAGCUGGUCUGAGAGGACGGCCAGCCACACUGGCACUGACACACGGGCCAGACUCCUACGGGAGGCAGCAGUGGGGAAUUUUGGGCAAUGGGCGAAAG